UAGGGAAUAUUGCGCAAUGGGGGGAACCCUGACGCAGCCAUGCCGCGUGAAUGAAGAAGGCCUUAGGGUUGUAAAGUUCUUUCGGUAUUGAGGAAGGUUGAUGUGUUAAUAGCACAUCAAAUUGACGUUAAAUACAGAAGAAGCACCGGCUAACUCCGUGCCAGCAGCCGCGGUAAUACGGAGGGUGCGAGCGUUAAUCGGAAUAACUGGGCGUAAAGGGCACGCAGGCGGUUAUUUAAGUGAGGUGUGAAAGCCCCGGGCUUAACCUGGGAAUUGCAUUUCAGACUGGGUAACUAGAGUACUUUAGGGAGGGGUAGAAUUCCACGUGUAGCGGUGAAAUGCGUAGAGAUGUGGAGGAAUACCGAAGGCGAAGGCAGCCCCUUGGGAAUGUACUGACGCUCAUGUGCGAAAGCGUGGGGAGCAAACAGGAUUAGAUACCCUGGUAGUCCACGCUGUAAACGCUGUCGAUUUGGGGGUUGGGGUUUAACUCUGGCGCCCGUAGCUAACGUGAUAAAUCGACCGCCUGGGGAGUACGGCCGCAAGGUUA
rnacentral:rRNA from 1 species